GCCCAACAAACACCUGAAGACUAUCUGAAUGCUCACAACCAAGCUCGAGCAGUCGUUGGACUUGGACCUAUGAGCUGGGACAAAAAAGUAGCAGCCUAUGCACAAAACUACGCAAAUCAGCACGUCAGUGAAUGCAACCUUGUGCACUCAGAGGGGCCUUACGGCGAGAACUUGGCAUGGGGUAGUGGAGACCUUUCAGUCGAAGAAGCUGUGAAAAUGUGGGUUGAUGAGAAAACUUAUUACGACUAUAAUUCUAAUUCCUGUGCUCCUGGCCAGGUUUGUGGCCAUUAUACUCAAGUGGUCUGGCGCGAAUCGGUUCGCCUAGGAUGUGCUAAGGUUACCUGCACUAAUGGAGGAACCUUCAUUGGAUGCAAUUAUGAUCCUCCUGGUAAUUAUAUUGGGAAACGACCUUAUUAAUCAUAAUGUCGUUUAGAUUUACCCAAGGAUAAAAUAUGUCCUGGUUCAUAUCCAAGACUAUAAGAAUAUGAUUUAUGUCUUCCGGUUUCAGCCUAGAUUAAGUUGACCAAGAAAAAAUGGAAUAAAAUAGAAUAUGAUAUAUGUCUUCCUGAUUUCCAGCAUGGAGAUUUGCUUUUGGUUAUUUGUAAAGGGGCAAGAUUUUAAGCCAAAAAUAGAAUAAAAUAAAAUAUUAGGAGUUUGUCCUCAUUUCCUGUGUUUCACUAUCAAUUUACUCUCGUGAUUGCUGAUUACAAUAACUUAAGCCAUCAUAUACUAUCUUCUAGACAUCAUCUUUCUACAAAGACAAACACUACAAAAAAUUCGGCAAUUUGCGACCGAUUUGUCGGUGGCAAACUGCAAGAAAUCGGUCGUUAAACACCAUUAGCGACCGAUAACCAUCUAUCGCAAAAGUGCUCGCCGCUAGAUAAAUGAAAUUUAGAUUUCUCAAGCUCUAAUGACAGGCUAAACCAGUACACAACUAUACGCAUUAAAAGUGGAUAAUAUUAGCAUCGAAUUGCUGAUUUCAUUAGCAUAGAAACCGUUUAAACUUGAAUCUACUGUAUCCUUACCUCAUCUGCGAUCAUCGCAAUGAGUGCAGAGUUACUAGUCCGGAUUUGAGGUUUGUUAGCCAUUUCUUGAAUGAUCCAAUCGCAACAGAGUUAUUUCUUUAAUUGCGACAUGAAAUCGAAACCGAAACCGAAAUCGAAACCGAAAUGGAAAUGAAGAACAUAAGGAGGAGCGCACCAUAUCAAAAAAUCAAAAUCAACAUCUAAGAUGAGAAAAUAACCAAAUUAGAAAAUCGAUAUGAGAAAAGGUACCUUCAGUAGUUCGGUGCAAGCUAAUCUGACUUGAGAUCUCAGACCUUAUCUUUUUUACAGUUAUGGAAGACGCAGUGAGAGAGGGAGAGAGAGAGAGAGAGAGAAAUCAAUCGCGUGUCGAGGAACGGGAGAGGGAUAAGUUUCGUACUAUGGCACAUUUGUAAUUAUUUCUAUGUAUUACAGUAAAUUCAC
rnacentral:lncRNA from 1 species